ACAUUCAGCAUAUACCAGAUAACAUUAUGUAGGUCCUAGGGGGAACAUUCAGCAUAUACCAGAUAACAUUAUGUGGGUCCUAGGGGGAACAUUCAGCAUAUACCAGAUAACAUUAUGUAGGUCCUAGGGGGGACAUUCAGCAUAUACCAGAUAACAUUAUGUGGGUCCUAGGGAAGAUAUUCAGCAUAUACCAGAUAACAUUAUGUAGGUCCUAGGGAAGAUAUUCAGCAUAUACCUGAUAACAUUAUGUGGGUCCUAGGGAAGAUAUUCAGCAUAUACCUGAUAACAUUAUGUAGGUCCUAGGGGGAACAUUCAGCAUAUACCAGAUAACAUUAUGUAGGUCCUAGGGAAGAUAUUCAGCAUAUACCUGAUAACAUUAUGUGGGUCCUAGGGAAGAUAUUCAGCAUAUACCAGAUAACAUUAUGUGGGUCCUAGGGGGAACAUUCAGCAUAUACCAGAUAACAUUAUGUAGGUCCUAGGGAAGAUAUUCAGCAUAUACCUGAUAACAUUAUGUGGGUC